GCUGAAAAUCCCGACUUCGGAAGGGAUGUGUUUAUUAGAUAAAAAACCAAUGCCCUUCGGGGCUCCUUGGUGAAUCAUAAUAACUUAACGAAUCGCAUGGCCUUGCGCCGGCGAUGGUUCAUUCAAAUUUCUGCCCUAUCAACUUUCGAUGGUAGGAUAGUGGCCUACCAUGGUAUCAACGGGUAACGGGGAAUUAGGGUUCGACUCCGGAGAGGGAGCCUGAGA
rnacentral:rRNA from 1 species